GGGGCCCGAAGCGUUUACUUUGAGAAAAUUAGAGUGUUCAAAGCAGGCCGGCCGCCGGCAUACUGCAGCUAGGAAUAAUGGAAUAGGACUCCGGUUCUAUUUUGUUGGUUUUCGGAAACGGGGCCAUGAUUAAGAGGGACGGCCGGGGGCAUUCGUAUUGUGCCGCUAGAGGUGAAAUUCUUGG
rnacentral:ncRNA from 1 species